rnacentral:rRNA from 1 species
CCUACGGGUGGCAGCAGUAGGGAAUCUUUCACAAUGGGCGAAAGCCUGAUGGAGCAACGCCGCGUGCAGGAUGAAGGCCUUCGGGUUGUAAACUUCUUUUAUAAGCGAGCAAUAUGAGGGUAACUUAUGAAUAAGGAUCGGCUAACUACGUGCCAGCAGCCGCGGUCAUACGUAGGAGCCGAGCAUUAUCCGGAGUUACUGGGUGUAAAGAGUUGCGUAGGUGGCAAGAUAAGUAGCUAGUGAAAUCUGGUGGCUCAACCAGUCAGACUAUUAGCGAUACUGUUAAGCUCGAGACCGUUAGGGGUAAGUGGAAUUUCUGGUGUAGGAGUGAAAUCCGUAGAUAUUAGAAGGAACACCAAUUGCGUAGGCAGGUUGCUGGGACGGUUCUGACACUAAGGCACGAAAGCGUAGGGAGCAAACGGGAUUAGAUACCCCUGUAGUC